AGUGGCGGACGGGUGAGUAACGCGUAAGAAUCUAACUUCAGGACGGGGACAACAGUGGGAAACGACUGCUAAUACCCGAUGUGCCGCAAGGUGAAACCUAAUUGGCCUGGAGAAGAGCUUGCGUCUGAUUAGCUAGUUGGUGGGGUAAAGGCCUACCAAGGCGACGAUCAGUAGCUGGUCUGAGAGGAUGAGCAGCCACACUGGGACUGUGACACGGCCCAGACUCCUACGGGAGGCAGCAGUGGGGAAUUUUCCGCAAUGGGCGAAAGCCUGACGGAGCAACGCCGCGUGAGGGAGGAAGGUCUUUGGAUUGUAAACCUCUUUUCUCAAGGAAGAAGUUCUGACGGUACUUGAGGAAUCAGCCUCGGCUAACUCCGUGCCAGCAGCCGCGGUAAUACGGGGGAGGCAAGCGUUAUCCGGAAUUAUUGGGCGUAAAGCGUCCGCAGGUGGUCAGCCAAGUCUGCCGUCAAAUCAGGUUGCUUAACGACCUAAAGGCGGUGGAAACUGGCAGACUAGAGAGCAGUAGGGGUAGCAGGAAUUCCCAGUGUAGCGGUGAAAUGCGUAGAGAUUGGGAAGAACAUCGGUGGCGAAAGCGUGCUACUGGGCUGUAUCUGACACUCAGGGACGAAAGCUAGGGGAGCGAAAGGGAUUAGAUACCCCUGUAGUCCUAGCCGUAAACGAUGGAUACUAGGCGUGGCUU
rnacentral:rRNA from 1 species